CAAAUGAAUUGACGGGGCCGGCACAAGCGGUGGAGCAUGUGGUUUAAUUUCGACGCAACGCGAAGAACUUACCAGGGCUUGACAUCCCCUGACCGCGUAUGAAAGUACGUUUUCACCCUCGGGUGGACAGGGAGACAGGUGGUGCAUGGUUGUCGUCAGCUCGUGUCGUGAGAUGUUGGGUUAGGUCCCGCAACGAGCGCAACCCCUACGUUUAGUUGCUAACAGGUGAAGCUGAGCACUCUAGACGAACUGCCGUUGACAAAACGGAGGAAGGUGGGAUGACGUCAAAUCAUCAUGCCCCCUAUGACCUGGGCUACACACGUGCUACAAUGGGCGGUACAAAGGGCUGCGAACCCGCGAGGGGGAGCGAAUCCCAAAAAGCCGCUCUCAGUUCGGAUUGCAGGCUGCAACUCGCCUGCAUGAAGCCGGAAUCGCUAGUAAUCGCGGAUCAGCAUGCCGCGGUGAAUACGUUCCCGGGCCUU
rnacentral:rRNA from 1 species